rnacentral:rRNA from 1 species
AGGACGAACGCUGGCGGCGUGCUUAACACAUGCAAGUCGAGCGGAAAGGCCCUUCGGGGUACUCGAGCGGCGAACGGGUGAGUAACACGUGAGCAACCUGCCCCUGGCUCUGGGAUAGCCUCCGGAAACGGGGAUUAAUACCGGAUAUUCACUGUCUCCUGCAUGGGGGGUGUGGAAAGUUUUUCGGCUAGGGUGGGGCUCGCGGCCUAUCAGCUUGUUGGAGGGGUGACGGCCCACCAAGGCGACGACGGGUA